rnacentral:rRNA from 1 species
UGGGGAAUAUUGGACAAUGGGGGGAACCAUGAUCCAGCCAUGCCGCGUGUGUGAAGAAGGCCUUAUGGUUGUAAAGCACUUUAAGCGAGGAGGAGGGUACUGGUAUUAAUACUACCAGGUACUGGACGUUACUCGCAGAAUAAGCACCGGCUAACUCUGUGCCAGCAGCCGCGGUAAUACAGAGGGUGCGAGCGUUAAUCGGAUUUACUGGGCGUAAAGCGCGCGUAGGUGGUUCGUUAAGUUGAAUGUGAAAGCCCCGGGCUCAACCUGGGAACUGCAUCCAAGACUGGCGGGCUAGAGUAGGGCAGAGGGUGGUGGAAUUUCCUGUGUAGCGGUGAAAUGCGUAGAUAUAGGAAGGAACACCAGUGGCGAAGGCGACCACCUGGGCUCAUACUGACACUGAGGUGCGAAAGCGUGGGGAGCAAACAGG